rnacentral:misc_RNA from 1 species
AACGCACAUUGCGCCCAUUGGUAUUCCGAUGGGCAUGCCUGUUCGAGCGUCAUUAUCAACCCUCAAGCCCCUUUGGCUUGGUGUUGGAGACUGGCGGGGCGCAUGCGCCCGGAGCCACUCCCAAAUACAAUGACGGCGGCGACGAUGACCCCCGGCACACUGAGCUUCUCACCGAGCACGUGCUGGAAGGGUCUUGUGGCCACGGUCUGCCUCCCCUCUGGGAGAAACGGAUUUCAUCCACCAAGGUUGACCUCGGAUCAGGUAGGGAUACCCGCUGAACUUAA